AAGUUUGAAAAUGCUCACCACACUUUUUUGAACGAUACGACCACUUCACUUUUUGGUGUAGCAUACACAUGCAUACAUGCACUGUUCAGUGAAUGGUGUUUACAAAUCCUGUAAAUUCCAGAGUGCUCAAUUGCUUUCUACCCUUGUGAAUGCAAAGGAAAUUAUUGUUCUUGAAAAAAGUGUGGUGAGCAUUUUCAAACUU
rnacentral:misc_RNA from 1 species